UACGUAGGCAGCGAGCGUUGUUCGGAAUUACUGGGCGUAAAGAGUGUGUAGGCGGUGUUCCAAGUCUGGUGUGAAAUCUCCCGGCUCAACUGGGAGGGUGCGCCGGAAACUGGAAUGCUAGAGGGUGGGAGAGGUAAGCGGAAUUCCGUGGUGUAGCGGUGAAAUGCGUAGAUAUCGGGUGGAACACCUGUGGCGAAGGCGGCCAUCUGGACGUUCACUGACGCUGAGACGCGAAAGCGUGGGUAGCAAACAGGA
rnacentral:rRNA from 1 species